AAAAAUUUAGUUAAGUUAUAACAUCAGCUUGUCAAGCUGAAAUAAAUAGGAAAUAUUAAUUUUUA
rnacentral:tRNA from 1 species